GAAAGCCGGAACGAAUUCUACUUGGCUUGUGAUUUGACAGCACUUUUUGUGUGACUGCCACUGAGCUUGCUGCAGUUGGUUUCACCUUCUUUACAGACCUUCCUUGCAGGAAAUGGAGGGGAUGUGUGUCUUUGAGUAAAGCACAAUAGGAGAAGAAUUAUAAAACCACAGGUAUUGCUGGAGGGUCUUUGGGCAAGGUGAUACCUGUUAGUGGAAGUACUGAAACUAGUUUAAUUUGCACCUUAAACAACCUACCUUUCAGGCUGAUGGCUUCUUCCUAGAAGGUAGAAUCUCUAUUGUUGAGUGAAGUCUGAGAGGCUUGAUUUUCUAUGAGAGAUGUUAACUAGUGAUUAGUGUUCCUGUUGAGUCUGGACAUAUUUUGUUCACUAACUAAAAUACCUGGAGAUAAUACUUUAUUUUUUAUGUUUUAGUUAGACUUAUAUCUGAAAGGUUUCUUAUAAGAACUGGCUCUUAGGAGUGCUGCAUGGUAAUAAAUUUAAAAUUAAUCUAUCUUCAUGAGUUUUGAUCACCUGUGAUUUAUUUUUUUUCCCUCCAGUGCAAGUCAGCAUGUUGUCUGUAAUCUCUACAGCCUGGGUGCCUGCCCAUUCUAUACUCCCUUAGGUGCGUUGCUGGGCAUGCUGUAUUUGGAUACCUGUGGAAGCCCAAAAGGCAGUUGUUACAUUCAAGGGCGUGUUAAGUAUAUGUUUAAGGGAAGAUCUGAUUUGAGAACCUGAUACUCUUCUCUCCUUAAUGCUACCUUCUGCCUCUUUUUGUGUAUAAACACAUGAUCAGUCCCAAACAAAUGGGGUGGUACAGGGCUACCCCAGCCAACCUCCCUAGGUACUACUGUAUGCAGGGAAAUCUGUUCUUCCUUAAUGAAGACUUAAGGACUAAUACUUUAACUUUGCAUGUCAAACACAAUUAAAAUACCUCCAGUUAUUUCUUAAAGGGCGACUUGAUCAAAUAAAACCAAAAUCAGAAAUGUUUGUGUUGUUAUAGAGCUAUGUGGCUGCUGGGAUAAAUGCAUUCCUCCUUUUCCUGUUAUGAAUUGGUCCUGUUAAGGAGAGUCAUACUUCAUAAGAUCAGAAGAUGAUUUGGGGAAGUCCCCAGUUCUGCUCAGUGCAUCUUCAUCCACCAGGACAGGUUGUUCAAGGACUUAUUCAGUCAGCCCUAGAAAGCCUUCAGUGAUGGAGGCUGCACGACCUCUCUAGGCCUCUGUUUCACUGUUAAACUGUCUUUAUGGGGGAAAAUUUCUCCCCUAUAUUCAUCAGAACAUCUUUCUUCCACUUACAGUGGAAGUUUCUUACACUUCCACUACAUGAAGGCCUGUCUUUCUGCCUUGUGCUACUGUGAAGAGACAAAUUCCAUCUUGCUAAUCCUCCCAUAGACUGCUGUUACAGUCUCUCUGAAGCCAUUUCUUCUGCAGGCAAAAUAAGUCCAGCUCCUUCAGCCUUUUCUCACAGGCCAAGUGCUCCAGUCUUUGACCAUCUUGGUAGUCCUACGGCGAACACAUGCUAGUUUUGUAUCUUACUUUGCACUUGGAAACCCCAAAUAUGAUAUCCUUCACGCUCAGAGUUCUGAGUAGAAGGGAACAGUCAUUUCCCUUCAGUCUUCCGGCCAAGCUUCUUCCUAGUGCUCAGUUCAUGGACUCAACUGCUAAUCAGCUGAAUUGGCUUCUGCCUCUUAGUUUUUAGUACCACUUUUUUGGAGAAAGGUGAAAUUUAGUACUUUUAUCAUGUAAUGUGAUGGAUAUAUUUUUGAAAGGACAGAAAUACUUAAGAGAAAAUACUAGUGAAAAGAUGUUCUGUCAUGAGUACAAAAUUAUUUGAAGUGUGUAACCGUACAGAGUAAUUUGGAGCGAAAAUCACAGCAGGUCUUUUUUGACACAUGGCAAGUCUUUUUUUUAAAUGAUUAAAAAAACACAGCCACCCUAUUGGGAUAGCAAUGUAAGUGAUGUAUUGCAUGGAAAUCACUUCUGAUGAUGAUGAAUACUAUUAUGUUAUGCCCAAGUAGUGCUGGGAAGUAAACAAGUUAAAAAUUCUCUUCUUGCUACCAUGGAGCAGCUUACCUAGCAAGUGGUUGCCCUGAAACCUUCAUGCUGAAGUCUUCAUGCUUUAAAUGAUACUUUAACCUCCCCACCCUCAAAGGAUUUGUUUAGCAUGGCUUGCUGGAGUGGGCUUCCAAUGGACUUGCUGCGCAUGUUUAAAUAAGAAUGUGAACUUGACUCGUAUGGAACCGUGGGACCAGGUGGGCUGCCUUCAGGAGCACGCAAGUAACUGAUGGGGCUUGUGGGGCUGCUUUUUGUCACCUGAGGUAGUGGAGAACAAGGAUAGUCAGCGAUGACUAGAGAUAGCAAAUGUUAAACCCAUCUUCAGGACAGGCCAAAACGUCAACACAGGAACCAUAGGUUGCUUAGCCUCACUUGGGUUAGUGGAACAACUUUGAGAAUGUAUUUCUUUUCCCACAACCAUUGCUAUUUGUUUUUCUAGGUUGAGGUAUGCCUAGGUUUGAUUUCAAUUAUCCUUUUUUCCUGCACUUUAGUGAUGUGGCUUAGGCUUUUCAUCAUACUACAACAUAAAGUAGUGUGAAGGUAAGGUGCUAAAAGCACACCUUGUAGAUGUUCUGUGACAGCACAUUGGAAGUGGCUCCAUGAAUCACUACAAAAGGACAGACUGUGCUUAGAUAUGUGUUGGAGCUUCUGCUUAGAAGUAUAGCGACUUCCUAAUACAAUAGUGUGUAGAACAGUGUGGAACAGUGCCUACUGCAACAAAUUUGCCACUAUCACAAGCAAAGUGAACUUCCUAGGUUUUUUGGAUCAAACUGAUUUUAAGUUUGGAUUUGGGGCAAGCGUGGGAAGUAUCCUACUAUGUCUGCCUUCGCUCAUGGCCCAGCAGAAUCUUUUUGUUUGGGGGAUGGGCUAUUGCUGCCACAGCGAGCCAGUAUUUUGGAUUGGAACUAGAUCAUCUUCAAGGUCCCUUCCAGACGGAGCCAUUCUAUUACUCUAAUAUUGUUCAGUGUUAGGAUCUGGUAAGUAGGAGAGAUGGUGCAAGGAAGGGAGAAGGAAAAUGCAGUUGCAAGCUAGCAGCUGCAUUGGAAGAAUGGAUUUGGACUUGAUUGUGCAGUGUUGGGUAAAUGAGCUAAGACUGUGACUUCCAGAAGAGAUUAAUUCCCCUUUUCUGCCACCCUCUGGCUGUGAGCUCUUGCUGCUUACCUGCUGUUCACCUGUCUGGUCACCUUUGUGAGGUGCUUGAACUUGUUUAAUGUAUCAGAAAAGUAAUCCACAAUAAGGGGGGAGAAAAUGGAUAGGAAGCUUAUGGAGAAGUCAGUCUGUUAUCCCAGAGCUGGUGGGAGGGGAGCAAGCUGCUGUGUUGGAUCAGUCACACGGAACUGUCCUGCUUGGUGUGUUCCCAGUCUUUGUUAGCUUCCCCCCCACUUUGGUCCCUGUGAGAUGCUGACUGUCCUGUGUUAAAGAGCAGAACAGACUGCUGGCAUUUUACAACCCUUAUUCAUAGCUGAGGGUGUGUUUUGUUUUUUUAAAGGUUAAUGGAAGCAUACAUUUCAUCUAAUUCUAGAUACAACGAUUGGAACUCAAAGGGUGAAGUUACUUCUGAUCAGAACAUAAAAUUAUCUCUAGUUAUUAUAAGAGAGGAAGGUCUAGUGAAUGAACUUGUGUGAUGUCACCUCUUCCAGUUCUGAGGCAGCUUUGGGACCUAUGAGUUGUCUCAAUAGGAUGCAGUGUGUGUAUACAAGUAAAUAUUAAGAAUGUGUGCCUGUUUCUAGACUGAGGUCCUUCUAAACCUGCUGGACUAUCCAAGCUUGGCUUCCCUGCCGUGUGGGUUGUAUAUACUGGGAAUAAACAAAUUAUUUCCAGGUCCUCCUCCUAUAAGUUCUCAGUGAAUUUAAAGUUCCUGUUAAUGUUUCGGAUGCUUAAGUGCUAACAAUGUUUUUGAAUUGUUUUUCAAAACCUGGGCUCAUAGGGUAAUGAUCACCUGUAACUGGUGAAGUAUUUGUGAAUCACGCAGUCCUUCUGAAACAAGCUUCUUGAAAUUGCCUGGGCUGUCAGCGCGAUGUUCUGUGCUUAGUGGUAUGCUCUGGCAGUGCCAGCUGAGGGAGUUCCUGUCCCAAGCUGCUUGUUUGCCUUUGCUCUGUUUUGCUGACAAACUAUUCUGUGAAACUAACAGGCAAACUGAGCUGCCAGGAGAAAUGAUGGCAGAGUUCUUCCUAGCAGCAGUGCUUCAGAGCAGCUGUUGAAACUGAAGAAGUACAGCAGUAUGAGUGACCUACACUGGUACUUGGAAACAGGGCAUUUGGAAUCAAGAGGGUGAAUGCUGCCAUCCUCUUCGCAUUUUUUCUGCCUGGCUUCCCUAAGUCUUCUUAUAGGGCUUUUGGGGAGAAAUGGUAGUCAGAGGCACCGCAUGAACAUUCAGACUUUCUAACCUCCAGUGAAGAUACCUGGCAAGUUCUAAUUUCGAUUUUAGUAGAUACAAUGCUAUGAAUAGGUUGUCAUGGUUCAGUCCACAUACUGACCCAGAUCUAGGUAGCUUACUUUCUGAGGGAAUUUGCCAUUCCAGUUGACAAAGAAUGACAAUGACCUCCUCCUACUGUAGCGUGUUACUGUAACUUAAUUCAUUAUGUAGAUGAAUAGAAGGGCUUCUGCCCUUGAGAAUAUCUAGGGUUAUGGUCAAGACCCUGAGGUGAAAAAAAAAAUGAGUGUUCUCAGUACUUCACGAGAUUACCUUAUGAAGAAAUGGUCAAAGGGCAUUUCCUAUUUUGAAGCAUAUUUCAACAUGCAGACUGAAUUCCUCUACUACUGAAGAAUUACAUGGUUACACCCGAAACUGCCUCGGCAGGAGCUACUUAUGGAGCUGUUCGGUCAUCACUUCAGCAGCAUCGUCUCCCAUAGAGUGGGCAGCGUGGACAGGGGAGAGGUGUCUGCUUUAUUGGCUCAGACCUUCAUGGAGUCAGGAUUCUUUGGUGUUUGAAGCAUCUACUGUGAGCUUAGGCUGUUGUAUGAGGCCAUGUAUAGACUCCUUGUAGAAGUGCUCUGUACUAGGAAAUGAUGCAGUAGGCACUUAAGUUAGUCACUUAAGUUAUACUUUGGAAUUAUUGGGACAAAUUUUUCUGUACUAAGGAAGUCUUCACAAGCACGUGAUCAUAUCUGUUGUAAAACUCAAAAUAUUUUGCUUUUUUUAAUUGGAAAUCUGUACUAGAUUAUAUAUAAUAAAUGACUCGACUGUCUUUUUGCUUACUGUGUCCAAGAUCUUUCAGACCCUUGUCAUGUGCUGUUAUAGAAGAGACACUUACUACUUUUCAGCUACUUUCUCUAGUCCUAUAAAUCAAACUGAAUAAAAAGCUGGAAAGAAAACCUU